rnacentral:rRNA from 1 species
AUUGAACGCUGGCGGCACGCCUAACACAUGCAAGUCGAGCGGUAACAGGAUGUGUAGCAAUACACAUUGCUGACGAGCGGCGGACGGGUGAGGAACACGUAGGAACUUACCCUCAAGCGGGGGAUAACUAAUGGAAACGUUAGCUAAUACCGCAUAAUCUCGAAAGAGAAAAGCUACCCGCAAGGGCGGCACUUGAGGAGAGGCCUGCGUCCGAUUAGCUAGUUGGUGAGGUAAUGGCUCACCAAGGCAAUGAUCGGUAACUGGUCUGAGAGGACGACCAGUCACACUGGGACUGAGACACGGCCCAGACUCCUACGGGAGGCAGCAGUGGGGAAUAUUGGACAAUGGGGGCAACCCUGAUCCAGCGAUGCCGCGUGAGUGAAGAAGGCCUUCGGGUCGUAAAGCUCUUUAGGUUGGGAAGAAGUGUAUUAGGUUCAUAGCCUAGUAUGUUGACGGUACCGACAGAAUAAGCACCGGCAAACUCUGUGCCAGCCGCCGCGGUAACAC